rnacentral:rRNA from 1 species
GCAUAAUAAUUUGCUUUUUAAUUGAAGGCUUGUAUGAAUGGAUAAACGAGAAUAAAGCUGUCUCAAUUUUAGUAGUAUAAAUUAAUAUUCAAAUGAAGAAGUUUGAAUAAUAUAAAAAGACAAGAAGACCCUGUUGAGCUUUAUUUAUUAUAAAAUAUAGUAAAAUUAAUUAUUAAUUAUUUUAAAUAUAAAUUUAAUUGGGGUGAUUAAGGAAGAAAAAAAAUCUUCCUAGAAAUUUAAAGAUUUUGAAUCUUAUUGUGUAUCCAUAAAAAUGAAUAAAUAAUAAGCUACCACAGGGAUAACAGGCUAAUUUCUUUUGAGAGUUCAUAUCGAAAAAGAAGU